UACGUAGGGUGCAAGCGUUAUCCGGAAUUAUUGGGCGUAAAGAGCUCGUAGGCGGUUUGUCGCGUCGAAUGUGAAAACCCGGGACUCAACUCCGGGCCUGCAUUCGAUACGGGCAGACUAGAGUUCGGUAGGGGAGACUGGAAUUCCUGGUGUAGCGGUGAAAUGCGCAGAUAUCAGGAGGAACACCGGUGGCGAAGGCGGGUCUCUGGGCCGAUACUGACGCUGAGGAGCGAAAGCGUGGGGAGCAAACAGG
rnacentral:rRNA from 1 species